UUAGUGCUAUGGAAUUUGACAAGUACGUCAAGACUGAGUGUGCCAUUUUCAAUGAAUUUCUAGGAAAUAAGGCUGUAUCUUUUCAAGUGACUUUUUAGUAUAUAAACCCCAUGGAUAUAGUGAUGCCAAAUGCAUAGCAGCAGAGUUAAUAUUAAGUUUUUUGAGAGUGCAUUAAUUAAUUAAGAUGGAGUGGAAAUGGUUAUGGGUGGUUUUGGUAGCAUUCCUAUUAGGAAGGUGUUGUGAAUGUGAAAGGUGCUGGGAGCAAGAAAAAAUUGCUCUCUUGCAACUCAAACAUUUCUUUACUCAUAUUGAAGAUGUAAGAAUUAUUGGAUGGAUGAGGGAAAACAGAGUUCAGAUUGUUGUCAGUGGAAAAGGGUUGAGUGCAACACCUCCACUGGACGAGUGAUCCGACUCUUCCUUAAUCUUACAACUUUUGAAGUCUAUGGUGAUUUAGUUUAUAAUAAUAAUGAUAAUUAUAAUAUUAUUAUUAUUAUUAUUAUUUGGGAGAGUACGAUUGGAGUGGGAGAGAUUCUUGGUAUCUCAAUGCCUCUUUGUUUCUUCCUUUUGAGGAAUUGAAGAGUCUUUAUUUGGUUGGCAAUUCCAUUGCUGGUUGUGUUGACAAUCAAGGUUUUGAAAGGCUGUCACUGAAAUUGGACAAACUAGAGAUCCUUGACUUAAGUGUUAAUCAAUUCAAUGAUAGCAUUUUAGCAUCCUUAAGCGAACUUUCAUCACUCAGGUCUUUAAAUCUAGCAGAAAACCAAUUCACUGGGUCAAAUCCUAUAAAGGGUAUGAAGAGGUUAUCAAAAUUGAACAAGUUAGAGACUCUGGAUUUAUAUGGCAAUGUAUUAGGAAACAACAUCCUAUCACAUCUAGAUGGUUUCACAUCUUUAAAAUCUUUACGUUUGCAGAAUUGCGGAUUAAAAGGAACUGUUAAUUUGCGAGGUAGGGUUGUUUUAAAAAUCUCAUGGUUUUAAAAAGGAAUAACUAGAUUGAUAUAUAUUUGAUUUGAUUUGAACAGAAUUCAAUAAUUUGACAAACUUAAAGGAGUUGUAUUUAGGCGAAAAUCAAAUUGAGAGUCUCGGAUCUUUAUUUCAAAGUGUAAGUCAACAUAUACUGAAUUUGAAUAAUA